ensembl:lncRNA
GGUCAUCUGACUUGCUCCUCUUCUCGUCUUGCCGUGUUCCCUGUCGGAUCGGCUUGUUCCUGCUGCGCCCGACUGCACGCAAGGCUUCAGUAUUAGCGCUUGAUUGCUGGGCUGAGGCCAAUGGGAUGAAGUUCAACAAGACCAAGUCUGAAAGAUGUGGACCUGGGUGUUUGUUGAGGUUUGGCUAAACCUGAUCCAGCAGCUUGCCUAGUCUAUAUACAGCCUCAUUAAAAUACUGACAGUUAGAGGAUUUGGGGAAAAAAGAAAUGCGAUGGAGAGGAAGGAAAACCAAAGGAACAGGCUUUAUGGAGACAGAGAUCUCAUUUCCAGAACUUUGGACCUAGAGCCUGUGCCAUGGUGUAACCCUCUGGGAAGCUCAGACCCACGCAGCUGGGGGGAACAAAACUGAAAGACAGAAGAACUCACGGUGAUGGCAAUUGAGUAGGUGAAGUGAAAGCCAUGCACACAAGCAAAACAAAGUGAAGGGGACAGUAAGUUCUCUUCUUCAGGUAAAGCUUCUUGGACUUCUCUCUUUGAAAUGUACAUCUCUGAUUCACCAGUAAAUUCCUCAGAAUAGAAUAAAAUAAAAUAGUUCAGUUGAAAGGUACCUUUGAAGAUCGCCUACUCCUACUGUUGGACCUCUUCACGACUAACCAAAAGUUAAAGCAUGUUACUGAGGGCAUUAUUCAAAUGCCUCUUGAAUACUGACAGAAAUGAGGCAUCAAACAGCUCAUUAGAAAACCUGUUCCAGUGUUUGACCACCAUCAUGGUAAAGAAAUAUUUCCUGAUACUGUAAAGAAAAAAAUUGCAUUCUGAAGCUCCCCUGGCGCAGCUUUACAUCAUUCCCUCAUGUUCUGUCAUUGGUGACUGGGGCAGAGACUGACACCUCCCUCUGCACUUUCCCUCCUCAGGGAGUUGCAGAAAACCAGUUGGAAUCUUCUUCUUCAAACUGGACAACCCAAGUGCCAUAAACCUCUCCUCAGAGGACAUGCCCCCCAGUGCUUUUAUCAGCUUUGUUGCUCUCCUCUGAAUGUUUCAAGGGCCUUAACAUGCUUUUUAUAUUGUGGAAAUCACAACUGUACACAGUAUUCGAGGUGAGGCCACACCAACACUAAAUACAGCAGAAUUAUUUUUUUGAGCAACUGGCAAUGCUGUGCUUAAUGCAUCUGAAUGUCCAUUUUGUGAAGAGGCAGCUGAAAAAAAGGGUGACACUGACUCCAAAUAUAACCAUGACACUACUUUAGAACUGUUGGUAAAGGAAAAAAGUAGUUAUAGAUUAAGCCCAAUAUGAUAUUCUAAGCUAUUUUGCUUUAUUUCUGAUUUCCUAUAUUCUUAAUACAAGUAAUGUUCCUUGUUGCUUAAAGAGAGGUAAUUUCAAAGGAAGAGUCAAAAUCUUUAAUUCUCAGAUGUCUAAAUAAAUACUUGAACACAUACUAAGUACAUGUUACUGUAAAGAAAACAAACCAGAUCAUUUCCAAACGGAACAACUCUAAAUGUUUCAAAAUACACCAAGUUUUUCCUAUUUAUCCCAGCCAAAACAAUGUACUGGAUUGUAUCCAUUUUUCAGACUCUACAAUGGUUUUAAGCAUCCUGCAACUCAGUUUCCAGAUAUUUUGCUAUUUAUUGGAAGAAAAGAGAAUCUGAGAAAUGACACAAACUCAUCCAAAAAGAAAUAAAGAAAAUUAACCUUCUUCCAACUCUUUAACUAGGUUUUUAAUCUGAAGUAAGACAAAUUAAUCAGAAU